AGGUCUUCAAUGAAAUCAGAAACGAGCAUUUCUCCAACGUUUUUGGGUUCCUGAGUCAGAAAGCCAGGAAUCUCCAGACUGCAUAUGAUAAGCGUCGGGGGAUGGACAUAAAGCAGAUGAAGACGUUUGUGUCAGAGGAACUGAAAGGCUUAAAACAGGAACAUCGACUUCUUAGCCUCCACAUCGGAGCUAGUGAAUCAAUAAUGAAGAAGAAAACAAAGCAGGACUUUCAGGAGCUGUUGAAGACUGAGCACUGUGAGAAGAAACCUCCUUCCUUUCAUUACAUUCAGGUUUUAGUUAAAUGUGUUCCUCGACCAUUGAUGUUACUUUUAAUAAUAAUAAUAACAAUAAUGGCCCUGCGAUAGUCUGGCGACCUGUCCAGGGUGUACC